CACGUAGGGCGCAAGCGUUGUCCGGAAUUAUUGGGCGUAAAGAGCUCGUAGGCGGUCUGUUGCGUCCGCUGUGAAAACUCGGGGCUUAACCCCGAGCCUGCAGUGGAUACGGGCAGACUAGAGGUAGGUAGGGGAGAAUGGAAUUCCCGGUGUAGCGGUGAAAUGCUCAGAUAUCGGGAGGAACACCGGUGGCGAAGGCGGUUCUCUGGGCCUUACCUGACGCUGAGGAGCGAAAGCGUGGGGAGCGAACAGG
rnacentral:rRNA from 1 species